UACGUAGGGGGCGAGCGUUGUCCGGAAUUAUUGGGCGUAAAGAGCGUGUAGGCGGUUCGGUAAGUCUGCCGUGAAAACCUGGGGCUCAACCCCAGGCGUGCGGUGGAUACUGCCGGGCUAGAGGGUGGUAGAGGCGAGUGGAAUUCCCGGUGUAGAGGUGAAAUUCGUAGAUAUCGGGGAGGAACACCGGUGGCGAAGGCGGCGACCUGGGUCGACACUGACGCUGAGGCGCGAAAGCGUGGGGAGCAAACAGG
rnacentral:rRNA from 1 species